AAAAAAAAAAAUCAAUUAACCUUAAAAAUAAUUCCAAUUUCAAACAAAUUUGUUAUCGUUUGUUCUUGUUCUUUAUCCUAAUUCAUUGUUCUUGUUCUUUACCCUAACUUACCCAGAAAAAUCAAUUCUCCCAGUCCUCUUCUCCUUCUUGCUCGUUGGUUGCUUUCCCAACCUGUUUUCGUUGCGUGCUCCCCUGCUUCACGCCAUCCGGUUAUGGCCCGUGUCCUGCCUUGUUCCGCCUUCGUUGCCCUGCCUCGCACUGGCAGGCUGUCGCCGCCCUCCCUCGUGCCGUUGGACUAUCGAUGCCUUGCCCGCUACCUUGCCUCACGUCGUCUAAGAGGCCAACAAGAGUGGUAACAACUGGUUACCUCUACCAUGGGCAAUUGUUGCCUUGCUUAUUCUGGGAUUUAACGAGUUUAUGACACUUCUAAGAAAUCCUUUAUAUUUGAUUCUCAUUUUUAUUGGUUAUCUUGUCAUUAAAGCCCUAAGCCCUAUGGGUGCAACAUGAGGUCGCGGGUGAUUUUUGCCAUGGUGCAGUGAGCAUCUCUAGAAUGACCAUUGAUUAGUAGCAAGUUCAUUAAUCUAAUAUAGCUAAUGACUUUAGUUGCACACACUAAUAGCAAUUCUGUGCAAUUUCAUAUGACAUUUAGUAUAUAAAUUUUAGUAUAUAGAUGCAUAUGGCUUGUGGAGUCUAACCAAGUUUGCAUAUGCCUUUUUUUU